GGAAGUGGUUGCUGCGGUUAGCUUCACGUUAACCGGUCAGCAGAAGGUCGGAGAGCAGCAGCUGCAGCGUGUUUGGAGCUGGUCACCUGUCUCUACCUGAUAACCGGGCAGGUAACUGCAGGUUUAACCGGAAGCUGCUCUGUCGGCCGCACAGGUACUUCCGUCCAGGCCGGAAACAGGUUGGAGCUAAUAGGCUAACGUUAGCAUGCAGGGAGCUAACCUGCUGAAGAGGAAGGGGGCGGAGCCUUGGAGCUGCCAGCAGAAGCGGGUGUGUUUGGAGGCGGAGCUCCAGAUAGCAGAGUAUCCAAUGGAAAUGUCCCAUGAUGUGCCUGUGACCAGUCAGCAGCCGGCGCCGCAGGUUGGUUCGACCCGGCCUGGUCCUCCUCAGCUCUGCUGCCCCCGCUGUCUCGGAGGAGAACCGGGUCACAUCCGCCACAUCCUGGGUCAGUGAAUGCAGGAGCAGGAGGGGAAGCAGGAGGAGGUGUCCAGAAACCGUCCAAAUACAUGUCAGCCCUUCCACUGGAAGGGCCAAUCAGAUGCCUUUCCGUCUCUUUCCCAGGAAGUUUGUAGCAGCUGACUCAGAACACCUGGAGACAUUUUUUCUGAGUGUCAGCUCAGUCUGAAAGCAAUAACAUUGCAUCAUCAUGGAGGCGGCCAGUUAGCCUCAUGAGAUCUCUGACGGUGUGUUCAAGAACACUGAUUAAACGUGUGUCCCUGAACACACCACAAGUCUGUCUCUGGGCUCUGAUCACAUCUACAUCAGCUGAUCAAUAAUCAAUGACUCAGAUUUGUCCUUUGAUCUCCUGGUGAGGUGUUCACUGCCCAUCUUUUCACUCAGUAAAGGGCUAUUACACAGUUUACAAUCAGGGCAUUUUCCCUAUCAGAAUUCUUCUUCUGUGGUAUUAAGGAACUAAUGUCUGAGGCGUUAAAAGCAGAAACCUAAAUGAAAAUUAUACAAUGUCUUCCUGUUCAUAUAUUCUAUUUUUGCAAAAAUUUUGUAUAUUUUUAAUUGAAAUCUGACUAAAUGUAAUUCAGCUUCCUGCUGACAUCAUUUUGUGCUCCAGGCUGACCAAUCAGAGGGCAGCAUUUGUGCUGUUGACUGAUUUUGAAAUAAAUUUUUUAAAAACGG